rnacentral:rRNA from 1 species
GGUUCGAUCAUGGCUCGAUUGAACACUGGCAGGAUCCGCACGCACAUACCAAGUCCAGGCAGCACGGACUCGGUCUGGUGGCGAGUGGCGAACUGGGUGAAAUGUAUCGGAACGUGCCUAGUAGCCAGGGAUAACUACAUGGCCCGUGGCUAAUACCGCCGCCCUUCGGGGAAAGCGAGACCUUCGGGCCUCGCACUAUUAGAGCGGCCGAUAUCGGAUUAGCUAGUUGGUGAAGAUGGCUCACCAGGCAGCGAUCGUAGCUGGUUUGAGAGGACGACCAGCCACACUGGGACUGAGACCUGACCCCAGACUCUACACGGAGGCAGCAGUGGGGAAUUUUUGGACAAUGGGGGAAGCCUGAUCCAGCAUGCAUCCGCGUGUGCGAUGAAGGCCUUCGGGUUGCUAAGCACUUUUGGCGGAAAGAAACGGCCUGGGAUAAUACCCCGUGCAACUGACGGUACCCUGCAGAAUAAGCACCGGCUAACUACGUGCUGGCAGCCGCAGUAAUACGUAGGGUGCAAGCGUUAAUCGGAAUUACUGGGCGUAAAGCGUGCGCAGGCGGUUCGGAAGAAGAUGUGAAAUCCCAGAGCUUAACUUUGGAACUUCUGUUUUUAACUACCGAGCUAGAGUGUGUCAGAGGGAGGUGGAAUUCCGCAAUCAGCAGCAGUGAAAUGCGUAGAUAUGCGGAGGAACACCGAUGGCGAAGGCAGCCUCUGAGAUAACACUGACGCUCAUGCACGAAAGCGUAGGAGCAAACGGGAUUAGAUACCCUGGUAGUCCACGCCCUAAACGUGUCAACUAGCUGUUGGGGCCUUCGGGCCUUGGUAGCGCAACUAACGCGUGGGGAUUGACCGCCUGGGGAGUACGGUCGCAAGAUUCUGCAAACUCAAAGAAAUUGACGGGGACCCGCACAAGCGGUGGAUGAUGUGGGUCAAUUCAUUAGCGCGAAAAACCUUACCUACCAUGACAUGUCUGAAUCCGAAGAGAUUGGGAGUGCUCGCAAGAGAACCGGAACACAGGUGCUGCAUGGCUGUCGUCGAAGCUCGUGUCGUGAGAUGUUAGGUUAAGUCCCGCAACGAGCGCAACCCUUGUCAUUAGUUGCUAUGAAGAGCACUCUAAUGAGACUGCGUGCAAACCGGAGGAAGGUGGGGAUGACAUCAGUCUGCUAUUGGCCUUAUGGUGGGGCUUCACCACGUCAUACAAUGGUCAGGACAGGGUCGCCAACCCGCGAGGGGGAGCCAAUCCCAGAGAAACCCGAUCGUAGUCCGGAUCGCAGUCUGCAACUCGACUGCGUGAAGUCAAGAUCACGCUAAGUAUUCGCGGAUCAGCAUGUCGUGAAUACGAUUCGGGUCUUGUACACACCGCCCGUCACACCAUGGGGUGGGUUUUACCAGAAGUAGUUAGCCUAACUUCCGUAAGGAGGGCGAUUACCACGGUAGGAUUCAUGACUGGGGUGAAGUCGUAACAAGGUAA